rnacentral:rRNA from 1 species
UCUAUUUGAUUUUCUUCGGAAAUGAAGAUUUUGUGACUGAGUGGCGGACGGGUGAGUAACGCGUGGGUAACCUGCCUCAUACAGGGGGAUAACAGUUGGAAACGACUGCUAAUACCGCAUAAGCGCACAGGAUCGCAUGAUCCGGUGUGAAAAAACUCCGGUGGUAUGAGAUGGACCCGCGUCUGAUUAGCCAGUUGGCAGGGUAACGGCCUACCAAAGCGACGAUCAGUAGCCGACCUGAGAGGGUGACCGGCCACAUUGGGACUGAGACACGGCCCAAACUCCUACGGGAGGCAGCAGUGGGGAAUAUUGCACAAUGGGGGAAACCCUGAUGCAGCGACGCCGCGUGAGCGAAGAAGUAUUUCGGUAUGUAAAGCUCUAUCAGCAGGGAAGAAGAAUGACGGUACCUGACUAAGAAGCACCGGCUAAAUACGUGCCAGCAGCCGCGGUAAUACGUAUGGUGCAAGCGUUAUCCGGAUUUACUGGGUGUAAAGGGAGCGCAGGCGGUGCGGCAAGUCUGAUGUGAAAGCCCGGGGCUCAACCCCGGUACUGCAUUGGAAACUGUCGUACUAGAGUGUCGGAGGGGUAAGUGGAAUUCCUAGUGUAGCGGUGAAAUGCGUAGAUAUUAGGAGGAACACCAGUGGCGAAGGCGGC